GCCUGGGUGGCUCAGUCGGUUAAGCGUCCGACUUCGGCUCGGGUCAUGAUCUUAUGGUUCGUGGGUUCGAGCCCCGCAUCGGGCU
rnacentral:tRNA from 1 species